CCUACGGGUGACAGCAGUGGGGAAUAUUGGGCAAUGGGCGCAAGCCUGACCCAGCAACGCCGCGUGAAGGAAGAAGGCAUUCGGGUUGUAAACUUCUUUUAUCAGGGACGAAGCAAGUGACGGUACCUGAUGAAUAAGCCACGCCUAACUACGUGCCAGCAGCAGCGGUAAUACGGAGGUGGCAAGCGUUAUCCGGAUUUACUGGGUGUAAAGGGCGUGUAGGCGGGAGUGCAAGUCAGAUGUGAAAACUAUGGGCUCAACCCAUAGCCUGCAUUUGAAACUGUACUUCUUGAGUUCUGGAGAGGCAAUCGGAAUUCCGUGUGUAGCGGUGAAAUGCGUAGAUAUACGGAGGAACACCAGUGGCGAAGGCGGAUUGCUGGACAGUAACUGACGCUGAGGCGCGAAAGCGUGGGGAGCAAACAGGAUUAGAUACCCCGGUAGUC
rnacentral:rRNA from 1 species